AGUCUCUCACCAGUUGCUGACCAAACCCAGAAGCUGGUGGGAGUGCUUCUCUUUCAGCCCCUGCGGAUAUCCCUGGCCAUCCACCUGUGGCUGGACAGUCCCUGUGCCUGCUGUGUGGGGUCACUGUAAUUCCUUAGAGUCUUGGAGAUCUGACAAACUGCCCAUAAAACGUGCUGCCCCACCCAUUGCCUUUCUUCGGUAAAGGUUAAAGGAACAGGGGGUAAGAAUUCUCUCUCCUUUUCACUGAUGUUAUUGAUUUCCAGAAUGUAACAAAAAUAUAUCUGAUAGAUACAUAAAUAUGUAGGUAAUAAAUACUAGUUCUCACCCCUCCCAUUUCUCUCUCUCUCAGCAAAUAAAAAAAGAUUGAAAGAAAAUACACCAAAUUGGUAAAUAGUGGUGGAGGUUUUUUUUUAAUCUACUUUGUUACUGUAUGUUCUAAUAUAUAAAACACAUAUUACUUAUAUUUACAAAAAUAAUAUGUGAAAUAUAUUUUACUUAUAUUUACAAAAAUAUGUGAAAUAUAUUCUACAUAUAUUUACAAAAAUAAUUUGUAAAAUGUUUUUCUGGUAUUGGUGUAAACAAUCCUAUCUCUUUGAUCUGUGGCAGUCUAAUUAGCUAAGGCACUGAUUUACCUUACAACCAGGAAGAUGGGUUAAGAUAUUGCUGCUAUGAAAAGGCAACAUCCAGGAUCCUGGUGGUGAUGGAAUGUUCUAUAUCUUGGCUUUAUCCAUGUCAAUAUCUUGGUUGUGACAUUGUACUAUAGUUUUGCAAGAUGUUACCAUUGGGGAAAACUGGUUAAAGGGUAUAUGGGAUCUCCUGUUUUAUUUCUAACAAUUACAUGUGAAUGAACAGUUACCUCAAAAUAAAAGGUUUCCUUUUUUAAAAGCCCA
rnacentral:lncRNA from 1 species